CCUACGGGAGGCAGCAGUGAGGAAUAUUGGUCAAUGGACGAGAGUCUGAACCAGCCAAGUAGCGUGAAGGAUGACUGCCCUAUGGGUUGUAAACUUCUUUUAUAUGGGAAUAAAAUGUUCCACGUGUGGGAUUUUGUAUGUACCAUAUGAAUAAGGAUCGGCUAACUCCGUGCCAGCAGCCGCGGUAAUACGGAGGAUCCGAGCGUUAUCCGGAUUUAUUGGGUUUAAAGGGAGCGUAGGUGGAUUGUUAAGUCAGUUGUGAAAGUUUGCGGCUCAACCGUAAAAUUGCAGUUGAAACUGGCAGUCUUGAGUACAGUAGAGGUGGGCGGAAUUCGUGGUGUAGCGGUGAAAUGCUUAGAUGUCACGAAGAACUCCGAUUGCGAAGGCAGUUCACUGGACUGCAACUGACACUGAGGCUCGAAAGUGUGGGUAUCAAACAGGAUUAGAUACCCCUGUAGUC
rnacentral:rRNA from 1 species